rnacentral:sRNA from 1 species
GCAGGUGAAUGCAACGUCAAGCGAUGGGCGUUGUGCUCCAUAUUGUCUUACUUCCUUUUUGAAUUAUUGCAUAGCACAUUUGAUUCGAUACGCCGGCACGAUGCCGGCUUUU